rnacentral:lncRNA from 1 species
UGAAUUUUAAUUGUAGAUAUACACUUUGCUUUGAUUGGGUGAUUCUGAAUAGGCCGUGCAAGCUAGUUCGAGUUCCCUGCGUCAGUGCUAAUGAUGUUAUAGAACACAGCCAGAAGAAACCGUGCUGCGAUUUCCGAUGUCCGCUCAUGUUUGAUCUUCAAGCAAGUCCGCUCAUGUUUGAUCUUCAAGCAAUCCUACUUGCUGACAUUUAUCUGGCUGUUGAUUCAGCUUGUAUUCUGGCCGACUUGUGGCUAUUGUUGCUUUUUUUUUUGUUCAUCUGUUUCUGUACUAAGUCCGACGCUUGCUCCUGUGCACGCAUACGAGAAAUCACACUUUCAAGUUUCAUUCUAAUAAAAUGAAAGCAAGAGGUGUGCCUUUUUUUUAAUGGCAGCAAGUAAGAACAACUUUUUUGUAAUCAACACUCACCAAUGAUUGUAGGAGUAAGAGCCAUGAUCAGGUACACACAUCUUAAGCGCAGCAUCCACUUUGUCUCUUUCAGCCCGCCAAGAUAUUCCGUCAGAUGGCGAUGGGAGCUGCAUGUUGCUCAAGCUAUUGCUUAAGUCAGGAUAUGUUGGCAUCUGAAACAUAAUAUAUCUCUUGUAGUAAACUGGUUGAUAAUAGAGCACAGUGAGCCUUCUGUUCAAGAAUUCUGUACAACAAAACUAUCUUUGUGAAUACUCGUAUAUUAUAUCAUAUACAUGUGCACAAGGUUUGAAUCCCUCUGUCAGUGGUGUACGGAAAUUGAAAUAUGAUACAGUCAAAUUUUCAGGAUUUUUACGGUGUGUAUCUUGAUUUGAUUCAUCUUCCUUGAGCCAAGUGUAGCCUGGAUGUAGCCACUUUGGUGCAGCUUCUCCAGUCAUUAUGACACUUGAUAUGUAGUUAUUAACACUGUCAUACAAAGCUCCUCUUAAUUCGGUCAUAUAAGUAAGCAGAUAUGGGAGUUAUCAUUUUUUCCACGGAAUAGCCAGAUCGCAGAUUUGUUGGUCAACAAUAAGCUAAAGCAUCCCUUGCAAAAGGAAAGAAAGAAAGAAACAGAUUCGCUCGAUCUCAAGCAGUGCUACAGGAGAGGGGAUGGACAAACUGGGUUUGGGAUGUAGAUUCACUUGAUUUAGUUAGACUUAAGGGUCUGUUCUGUAAAAUGCACCAGUAGCUACCUUGCACCGCAUCAUGUCCCUCUGUUUUUAAUCCAAGGGCUCAUGUUCCACUAGAGCACCUGGUGCACGAGUCGCCCGGGUGCACAUGAUACGUUCUCUAGCAAAAAAUUCGAUGCGUUGCAAGAAUUUCUAUCUAGUCACCUUCCUGAAGAAUGUAACGUGAACUAAAUGAGGAAUGAAAUACAAAGUUAAUCUGUAAUAAGAGGACACAUUCUAAAUAAAAGGAACCAUUAGCUCACUACCAUAUUGUCAGUGUUUUCCUUGCAAGCUAUUAUAAUAGCACCUUGAGCAACUUCUGGAAGCAUUUUUUUGGGAUGCAAUAAAUUUGGCUUGCUCUUGGUUAUUCCUUGGUUGCUUCAAUCAAUGUUGAAGACACAGGUUGCGAUAAUUCUCAUUCUUGUUGGAACUGAAUUUGUACAAUCUUGCGACAUUCCUGGAUCUCAAAUGGAUGCAACUUAUUUGUAUCCAUUUCUUUUUUCAAUCAGUUCCGGGUCCUUAUUUUUUUGACUGCUACAUUAAAUCUCCAAGGCAUCAUUUGGUUCACAGGGUAGGAAUACCAUGGAAUAGGAAAACUACAGAAACUGAGGUGACAUGUAUCUCAAUUCUUAUAGGAAAAUAGAUGUCAUUUGAUUCAUAGGCUAGGAAUUUUCCCUUCCCAUUGGGUCCAUGCUGCUUUUAAGGGCAUGUUUGGUUGCCUACAUUGUUUUUUUGCCACUUUGCGUACUUGUCUCAGUUGGGCCGGGUUGAGCGAAUGCAGCCUAAAAACCAUCAUCUACACAUCGUUUGAUUGCUUGCAUUUGGUUAUGGGCUUGUUUAGGUAGAAAUGCAAGUCAGGUUGUUUGGUUAGAUGCAACGCAUGUUGUUUGGCAACCUCUUGAUGGAGGUGGUGAGGUUAUGAGCACACUGACAAUGAGGACGUAAAUUAGCAUAAUAUGAUGAUACCAAUCAUAAACAACCAAUCUUAAAAAAGCAGUUAUUAACAAACAAGACAUAAAUAAACAACUUAAACAAACCGCUCGACCUAAACAGAAGCAAAUCCAGGCAAGAGAGAACUUUCUAGGCAUUCAUGGCAAAGGCAUCGUCGUGCUUCUUUCACUUCGUCACCACCACAAUGCUGUCGUCGCUGAAGACGAUCACCUUUAGGGUGUCGGGACUCAGGAACUUGAACGUGACUAGGUAGUCGAUCCUGAUCGGUGAACAAAGGCGAAGGGGGCCCAACUCUGAUCAAGGGUGACGCUGCUAUUGAUCACCCGGACCGUCACCCUCCAAGCGCAGCAGGUGUUGGUUUUGACCUUGAACUCCUGAGGGAUGACGGGGAAGUGCUUGGUGAAGUCCACGGGCAUCGGCAGACACUCCAGCUUCGGUGAAAGGAUGACCUUGCAGAAGUGGGUUGGUCCUGCCUCCUCAUGGCAAUGGUCGUAGUUCCUCAUCCGCUUGCCGCUUCGGAAAGCCUAUGACAGCGUGAAGCAGCAAUUUCUCUACAAUAAAAAAAAUCUUCCCUUCUGGCGACUUAUAAAUUCCAUCUAAAUCUAUUGGGGGCUCCACCACGUCCUUGCCCUUGUCUUCACCGUCACCACAUCCUUGCCCUUGUCUUCGCCAGCACCACAUCCUUGCCCUUGUCUUCGGCGGACACCACCUCCUUGCUCUUGGAGUUCUUCGAGGUAGCCUUGUUGAUAUGCAUUAUGAACAUCACGAAGUUCAAAGGAUGAUCAACAUUCAUUCAUCCCACCCAACUUGUCCAAAGCCCCUAUUUAUCCACCACUGCACUUUCACUGUCACUCUCUAUUUUCUAUCCUCUUCCACAUCUCUGUCUCACCACCUCUCCAUCACCAUGAAUCCCAUCCUCAACCCCUUCCCCAACGGCAUUGGAUGAAGGGAUUUCUUCCUUGGUUGCUCGCUCUAUGACCAAACCAAGUCCACCAAGACCAUGGAGGUGUGCUCUCAGUUCACCAGCAUCGAGGACAUGCAUAUAGAGGCAGACGAAGUGGUGUUGAAGGCGACGAAGGAGGAGUUGAAGACGAUGAUACCUGACCCAGUCAAAGGCGCUAUGGAAAUGGACAUACUACGUUGGGCGAUGGAUCAUACCGAGUCCGACUAUGCUGGUCAGAGAGGAAUAUGGGCCAGGUACGGGCUUGUUAGGGCUCCUCAAGACCAGCCACCAUCAUUCUGGAGCCAGAGGAGGACGAUGAAGCAGGGGGGCUCAUGGUCAGGGCACCAGAGGCUAGCGACUGUACUAUGCCCAUUGUUCUGGACAACAACGAGGAUGAGGGGUGGUGGAUGAUGCGGUUAAGGCGGGGUGACCGACUACAUGGCCAAGGGCCUCCGACGCUCCAAGCGCCUCCAAGGUCACCGUGGCUAGGUGUAGCGUAAGCUUGAUUUACUCCCAAACCCUUAUACUCAAUUCCCGUUCAAACCCUAAUAUUCAUCGGUACUACCUAAAUGUAGAUGUUUUGGUAAAUCCACUUUCGAACCCCCACAUUCAAUCGAACCCCUACCACGCGAAUCAAAUGUGAAAAUCGAAUCAAAUAUGCGAAUUAAAUAUGGAAAUCGAGAGUGAGGAGGUGAAGCAGAGGGCUUACCACCAUUGUCAUCGAACACUUGUCAGUGAGGUGGUGAAGCCGGUGAUUGCCGUUGGUGCGAGCCUUGCAGUUCUUCGCUUUGUUGAUCGCCGCUGUCGGUGUGAGACUGGGGAGAGGGGAGAGAGAGC